rnacentral:rRNA from 1 species
UCUUUAUUUUAAAAAUUUUUAUUACUUAAGUAGUAUGAACAUGAUUUAGGUUAUAUAAAAAAUUGAUUAUUUUUUUUGUGUUUGAAACUUAAAAGGCUUGGCGGUGUUAUAUAUCCUACCAGAGGAGUUUGCUUAUUAAUUUGAUAAUCCUCAAUUUAUACUUACUUUUUUUUGAAUGAUUAUUUUUAUAAUUAAACAGUUUGUAUAUUGCUGUCAUCAGUUUAUUUUGUAAGAAUUAUGAAAGAGACUUAAUAAUUAAUAGGUUGUUAUGUCAAGUCAAAAUGCAGCUAAUAGAAAAGGUUUAUAAAGUGAACUACAGUUUAUAAUAUUUAAUCGGAUUAAGUUAUGUAAUUAAUUUUUGAAGUUGGAUUUGGUAGUAAUAAUUAAUAAUUAGUAGGUUUAUAUGAAUUGGGUUUUAUAAUGCGU